AUUAUACUAAGUAACAUGAGCUUUUUAGUUUUAGUUAGAAUUGCAAAAGCCACAUGUUUAUUGUGCCCAGCAUUUUACCACAAAGAAAGAGGAUUAAAUUCUUUCCUUUGUUGAGGAAUUGGGAGUUUUCUUCCUAAAUAGUACUCUUACCUAAAAGCUAAUUAUGAAGCUGGAAGCCUUCUGGUAUACAUAGCUGUGUUGAUGUAUUUUUGGAAACCAAAACUACAAUGAAGGAUGAGCGUCUAUCAGUUUGUGUAUUAAACCAGAUACAGGUGGUUACAAGAAAACCUCUUUCAGAAUAUCCCUUUAGUAACUGCUAAGUAAGUCCUAGCUUGCAUUUUUUUAAAUGACUUUUGCAUGUUGACUCCAGUGAUUUUCUGCUGUCAUAUUUUUAUAUUUUCUACUUCCUAGCUAUAGUCGAUCAGAAAAGCCCUGUGGUCCCAAGCUGAAGUCUGUAACUCAGCUGCUCCAAUGGACUGAGUUUGGUUGAGCAUUUAUUCUAUGUAAACAUAGGGCACAAAUAUUUAUUAUGCAUCGAUGCAUAAACUGCACAUGUGGGUGCUCGAAGCAACCAAGGUGGAAUUCUGUGGAAAGCAUAUCUACAUUUUAGGAAGCACUAAGACAGGAGUUAAAGACAGCUUUAAUAACUUUUUGUUACCACUUAAUCUUUAGCAACUUUAAUUUUAAUUAGGGUUUAGCUCAUGGUGUGUGAAAAGCCAAAAAUAAGAAGUGCCAGGUUAGGACUGAAGAAUCCAGAACCACCUUUGGCUUAACGAGUUCUGGAAGCUUAAAGUCUUCACAUUCCCAAAUGAGCCACCUGUCCAUAUAUGUGUUUAAUCCUUACUAAUUUCAUACACAUUGAUGCUAAAAUCCAAGAAGUGUAAACAAUUGUUUUAAACUAUUGAAAUACAGUGUGUGACAUAAAGUAUGUAAGUUACUCAGCUUUCUUCUCCCUAAGCCAACUAUUUGUCUUUAGUAUGAAAUAUAACUGUAAAAGCUACCUGUAAUGUCACCAGAUUAUAGAAACUUAUUAAUAAAAUGGACCUGGGUCUAAGACAUUUUUUUCUUCC
rnacentral:lncRNA from 1 species